GACGAACGCUGGCGGCGUGCUUAACACAUGCAAGUCGAGCGAGAAACCCUCUUCGGAGGGGAGUACAGCGGCGAACGGGUGAGUAACACGUGGGCAACCUGCCCCAUGGAGCGGGACAACCCGGGGAAACCCGGGCUAAUACCGCAUGUUCCGCGGUGCCUCAAGGCACCUCGGGAAAUGGUAGCUUCGGCCUCCGCCUUGGGAUGGGCCCGCGGCGCAUUAGCUUGUUGGUGAGGUAACGGCCCACCAAGGCGACGAUGCGUAGCUGGUCUGAGAGGACGAUCAGCCACACUGGGACUGAGACACGGCCCAGACUCCUACGGGAGGCAGCAGUGGGGAAUCUUGCGCAAUGGGCGGAAGCCUGACGCAGCAACGCCGCGUGAGGGAAAGACGGGCCCUUCGGGUUGUUAAACCGUAC
rnacentral:rRNA from 1 species